rnacentral:tRNA from 1 species
UCCAGGGUAGCCUAGUGGACAUGGCACCUGCCCGUUAAGCAGAAGGUUGUGGGUUCGAUUCCCGCCCCUGGAC